GUGCCAGCAGCCGCGGUAAUACAGAGGGUGCAAGCGUUAAUCGGAAUUACUGGGCGUAAAGCGCGCGUAGGUGGUUCGUUAAGUUGGAUGUGAAAUCCCCGGGCUCAACCUGGGAACUGCAUUCAAAACUGACUGACUAGAGUAUGGUAGAGGGUGGUGGAAUUUCCUGUGUAGCGGUGAAAUGCGUAGAUAUAGGAAGGAACACCAGUGGCGAAGGCGACCACCUGGACUGAUACUGACACUGAGGUGCGAAAGCGUGGGGAGCAAACAGGAUUAGAAACCCCGGUAGUCC
rnacentral:rRNA from 1 species